CUUUGACGCUCUGGAAAGCAGGCCUCGCAUGCUGAUGCGUGAGGCCUCACCGAAGGAGUAACCUUCCGGCUGCAUUCGUGCGCCGGGCGGGAAAUCUCUCAGGUACUCGGACAGAGGGGGUGCG
rnacentral:ncRNA from 1 species